rnacentral:lncRNA from 1 species
UGGAAUACAAAGUAUACCGCCAACAUCAAAAAAUGAUCAAUUGUAACUACAAGAUAACAUAACCUUAACCUCAAAAGAUACUGCACCUCCAACUGCCGAAAAACCCAACUAACCCCCAUUACACUUAUGUAGAAGUAUGUAGACCUCCAAAACGGAUCCAAUCUACCCCACUAUAACACCCCAUCCCUUUAACAAUCACUUCACAAGCCAUGGUCGAGGCUUCGCGCAACCGGCUCACUAGCGACACCCAUAAG